rnacentral:rRNA from 7 species
UAGCUUGCUAAUGAAAUUCUUAGUGGCGGACGGGUUAGUAACACGUGAGAAUCCUACCCUUAAGUGGGGAAUAGCCUUUCGAAAGGAAGAUUAAUGCCCCAUGGUCUCUACGGAGUAAAGAUGCCUUCGGGUGUCGCUUAAGGAUGGGCUCGCGGCCUAUCAGCUAGUUGGUGAGGUAAGAGCUCACCAAGGCAACGACGGGUAGCUGGUCUGAGAGGACGAUCAGCAACACUGGAACUGAGACACGGUCCAGACACCUACGGGUGGCAGCAGUCGAGAAUCAUUCACAAUGGACGAAAGUCUGAUGGUGCAACGCCGCGUGGAGGAUGACGGCCCUAGGGUUGUAAACUCCUGUCAUCAGGGAGUAAGACUUAUUCGUUAAUAGCGUGUAAGUUUGAUAGUACCUGAAGAGGAAGGGACGGCUAACUUCGUGCCAGCAGCCGCGGUAAUACGAAGGUCCCAAGCGUUGUUCGGAAUAACUGGGCGUAAAGCGUGUGUAGGCCGCGCGGAAAGUCGGAUGUGAAAGCCCAAGGCUUAACCUUGGAACUGCAUUCGAUACUCCCGUGCUAGAGUAAUGGAGAGGUAAGUGGAAUUCUCGGUGUAGCAGUGAAAUGCGUAGAUAUCGAGAGGAACAUCAAUGGCGAAGGCAACUUACUGGACAUUUACUGACGCUCAGACACGAAGGCUAGGGGAGCGAAAGGGAUUAGAUACCCCUGUAGUCCUAGCAGUAAACGGUGCUCGCUUGGUGUGGGGAGGUUCGACCCUCUCUGUGCCGGAGCUAACGCG